GGAUGUAGCGCAGUUUGGGUAGCGCACAACCUUGCCAAGGGUUGGGGGUCGCGAGUUCGAGUCUCGUCAUCC
rnacentral:tRNA from 1 species